GGGAUUUUAACUUUUGAUGUCUUUUCUAAGUUGGUUGCAGUUGUUUCACCAUGCAUAUGGUACUGUUUUCUGUUUUUCGGAGACAUGGUUUAUAACCCUUCUAAUGCCCUUUAUUGGUAGGCUUUUGUGCUGUAGUGUUGCAAGUGAUGUUGCAAAUUAGGUCCUCAUUUCUCUUCUUUCUUUCCAUGAUUUGCACCUGGUCCAUU
rnacentral:misc_RNA from 1 species